GUACUACCUUUUCUCUAUGGUUGUCUUAACUGUUAUCCGCACGGCUAUUGCAUUGCUAAAUAAACGUCAACGUGCAGUUAGACGCUUCAUAAAAGAAAAACGCUGCAUUAAUGGUUGGUUGAGUAUGAUGUUGACGGCAACUAGCGUACUGAAAACGAUUACUGCUUUAAACUGGAACAAGCAUUAGAAUGUCAAGAUCAAGUAUGUUAGCCGCUGUACUAAAAACUCACACAAGCGAUGUCAACAGCGUGGCCUUCUCAGGCUCGUUACUAGCAACAUGUUCAGGGGACAAGACGGUACGUCUGUAUAAAAUAUCUGAGAACUUCAAAGAGUUGGCGUUUUCUCCGCUCGUCGGCCAUUCAUACUAUGUUCACUGCUGUGUUUUCAGUCCAUUCGGUACCACCCUUGCAUCCUGUUCAACGGACGGAAAAAUUAUACUGUGGGAUACCAGGACAGGGCAAACGUUGAGCACAUUCAAACAUGAAAGCAAUGCUAUACUCAGAGUGUGCAGAUUCUCCCCGGACUCCAAGUACCUUGUGUCGGGUGCAGCUGACAAUAUAUUAUGUGUUUGGGAUGUAAAAGCAGGAAAAUUAAUAAAGUCACUGGAAGGCCAUGUAAAUGUUGUCACAGCCUGUGCCUUUACCCCAGACUCUGAGUUCAUCGUGUCAUGCUCGGCUAAUGGGGAUCUUCGUAUUUGGAAUGCUAGUGGUCGGAGUUCAAUGUGUCUGUUCUAUGACCCUGAUUGCCAUGAUCUUGCAGCUGGAUGUCUUGCUAUAUCUCCCACUUUCGGCUCUGCACAUCCAGAUUUUGAUUUCAGCAAGAGUGGGAUGUGCUAUUUCUUACUAGCAACAUGUGGAGACAACCUGGUGAAACUAUGGGAUUUAGAAACAAGUCCAGCAUGUUGUACAAAACUUAGAUGCGAGUUGAAAGGACAUACAGCUAAUGUAACUUCUGUGGCAUUUUCGGCCGAUGGACUUCUCCUUGCUUCUGGUGCUUUUGAUAAAACUGUUAUAAUAUGGAAUCCGCUUACAAGUGAGAAAAUACAGAUAUUAGAGGGACAUUCUCGAUAUGUUACAUCCGUAGCAUUCUCACCUGACGGCAAUUAUCUCGCAAGCGGCUCAAACGAUAAAACUGCUCAGAUUUGGAACAUCACUGAAAAUCAAGGUUUUCAUGAAUUUGUGAGUCCAGACGAUAUAACAAUUGGACAAGAAGAUUUGGUUGUUCUGCCGUCAAACUUCCAGGCCAAGAAUGCAAGAGGAGAUGUUAAUGUGGAUGCUUUGAACUUCAAUUCGAAGGCCCUGAAAGACUGGUCUGUGCAAGAUGUUGUUGACUGGCUUGAACUGCUUGGCCUGAGUCAGUACUGCGCAGCCUUUAGUGAGAAUCAUAUCGAUGGACAGGAGUUACAGGUGCUGGAUAGUGACACCCUAGCAAAUGAACUUGGCGUCAAACCUCUUGGUCACAAGAGUAAAAUAUUGCGUGGUUUAAAAGCAAUUCAAGAACAGACAUUUUUCAUUGGAAAAGAUCAAGGUGGCAGCAUUCCAGACGAGUACCUCUGUCCAAUCACGAGAGAGGUCAUGAAAGAUCCGGUAAUAUGUGCAGAUGGGUUUACCUAUGAACGAACGUCCAUAGAAUCUUGGCUACGGAAGAACAACAGCAGUCCCAUGACCAACUCACCGUUAGUCAAUUGUCAUCUGACCCCUAACAGGAGCCUAAAGACGAUUAUACAGAGGAUGUACAACCCAUGAUUAACUACUACUACUACUACUACCCAUAUAAUUUGUGCACAAAAAAACAACCAUUUUGUCAGAUUCAUCAUAUUUUAAUCGAAAUUAUCUGAAUCAGUAUUUUUAUUUUCGCCAUUGUUUUCAGUCUAGAUCCCGAAUUUCUUAGCAUCUUAGAGUCUUUUCUUUUGCUAUUUGAGGAUGUUGAGUGCAUCCUUGACUGAUACAUUUUUCGUAUUCGAAUGGGAACUUUCGUGCUUGACAGAAAAUCUGUUAAGUACUUUUCUUAUUCGGUUGGUUAAAUAACUCUUAACUUUUUUGUUGGGUUUGUGCUUAACCUUUGAAAGACUUUAAGUUUGUACUUGGCUAACAUACUCAACGGAUAAGUCCCAAUCGAAUGCACCAAUUGUCAUGAUCCUAGGCCUCCUUGGGUUACCCAUCCAAGUUCUGUCAAAGCCGUCUCAUUAUAUCUGCCUGCUUCUGAGUUCUUAUCAGCCUGGCUGUCAAUGACUUAGAUCUGCUGACAAAUCUCUCAAGUUCACUCCUGUUUUAAAGACACCUGGGGCCCUCUCUCAUGUUUUCUCUCUACCCCAUUAUCUGGAAUGAACUUCCACUUAUUACAGAAUUCUAGAAUGACUUAUGUCAGUUCAAAUCUGAAAUAAAAACCUUCAUUUAAGUUUUUAUUUCAGUGAGCUAACGUCUUUUCUCUUCUUUCGGCCCCCUUUUAUAUGAUUAUUGGCCUUUGGUAGUUUUGAGGGUAUGCCAUGGCAGGUACCAUGCAGAGGAUAGACACAGGCACUGUAAUAUAUAAUUUAUUGACUGAUCAUUAGUAGUUUGUGAUAUUAAUGUAUGUCAUUAACUUUAUUAUUAUUAUACAAAUUAUAUUAAACAUUUCUUUUAUUUUGAAGAACAAUUUACAUAAAGUUUUAUAUAUUUACUCUAUUAUUUAUAUAAUGUAUGCCACAAGUGUGAAUUAAUAUAGAAAAAAUUAUAAUGACAACCAAUUCUUUUUGAUUGAAUUUGAAGUGACUUCAUAAAUGCUUUAUUAUUUUUUGGAAUAUUUUAAAUGCAAUGAUGUACGAAUGUGUAAUACUCUAUUAGUUUUACUAUGUGUACAAUUACAUUUUAUGUACAUAACCCUGUAAAAUAAUUUCUGAACAUGUACAUAGAGAAAGGUAUGGGUACUUCAAGUGAUUUGCUUUUCCUGUUGGACAGUUAAAAGUAAAAAGAA
rnacentral:misc_RNA from 1 species